rnacentral:lncRNA from 1 species
UGUCACACCAAUGAUAUGCAAUUUCAUGAUUUUUGUUGACAUGCUUCCUGACCUCCAAUUAAUGUGAAAUUUUGCAUGAACCUUCUCUUAUAUGUCUAGUUCACUUGUGAUUUUUCUUGGAAUUAAUUAUGGCAUUUCCAAAUUGUUUGAGAUUUUAUCCCCUGUUUGACCAAAAUGUUGACUUGUGUGAUACAUCUUGCCAUUUCCUUUGUGAAAUUCUCAUACCUUAUUGGAUGAUCAUGAAAUUUUAC